UGAGGCAUUCGNCCCCUGGGUAUNUAGGCGGCAGGGGUGAGUAACACGUGGGUAACCUGCCUGUAAGACUGGGAUAACUCCGGGAAACCGGGGCUAAUACCGGAUGGUUAGUUUAGAACCGCAUAGGUUCAACACAUAAAAGGUGGCUUCGCGCUACCACUUACAGAUAGGACCCGCGGCGCAUAAGCUAGUUGGUGAGGUAACGGCUCACCAAGGCAACGAUGCGUAGCCGACCUGAGAGGGUGAUCGGCCACACUGGGACUAGAGACACGGCCCAGACUCCUACGGGAGGCAGCAGUAGGGAAUCUUCCGCAAUGGACGAAAGUCUGACGGAGCAACGCCGCGUGAGUGAUGAAGGUUUUCGGAUCGUAAAGCUCUGUUGUUAGGGAAGAACAAGUACCGUUCGAAUAGGGCGGUACCUUGACGGUACCUAACCAGAAAGCCACGGCUAACUACGUGCCAGCAGCCGCGGUAAUACGUAGGUGGCAAGCGUUGUCCGGAAUUAUUGGGCGUAAAGGGCUCGCAGGCGGUUUCUUAAGUCUGAUGUGAAAGCCCCCGGCUCAACCGGGGAGGGUCAUUGGAAACUGGGGAACUUGAGUGCNAAGAGGAGAGUGGAAUCACCGUGUACGGUGAAAUGCGUAAGAUAGUGGAGGACACCCAGUGGGCGAAAAGGCGACUCUUCUGGUCUGUAACCUGACCGCUGAGGAGCGAAAGCGUGGGGGAGACGAACAGGAUUAAAAUCACCUGGUUANUCCACACCUAUCAAACNAAAAGUGAUUAAGUGUUAGGGGGUUUCCUGCCCCUUAAUGUUGUNUAAUNCAUAAACACCCCGCGGGGNUAUACGCNGNAAAUUAAAUCAAGGAAAUGUAGGGGCCCACAGNGUGUAGUUUUGAUUUUUAAUNANUAAAAUUACGGCUUAAUUCUCACAUAAGAGUCUCCUUGGUGNGAUNGGAGUAUUGUUUUAUAAAUAUAUNNANCCAUCAUUAUCUNNC
rnacentral:rRNA from 1 species